AAGAAACCGUGGAGCAAGAAAAGUAAGUAAAGACGGGUGUAUCAGAGAGCCGCUGGCUGGUGUGAAUGCGGCAGCAUAGAAUUUACUGAAUGGCCUUGCGAGGGCGGCCUGAAACCGAAAGAUUCGGGAGUAGGCGUCGACGGGAGCCCUGUCCGUUAUCAGCGGGGUGCAUAUGAUAGUAUGUAAAUUGAGUGGAUGGUUAUAAUCAUCAAACCGGGUGGUACCGCAGAAGCUAAGGCUUUUGUCCCAGUA
rnacentral:ncRNA from 1 species